rnacentral:rRNA from 1 species
AUUGAACGCUGGCGGCAGGCCUAACACAUGCAAGUCGAGCGGAUGAAGGGAGCUUGCUCCUGGAUUCAGCGGCGGACGGGUGAGUAAUGCCUAGGAAUCUGCCUGGUAGUGGGGGAUAACGUCCGGAAACGGGCGCUAAUACCGCAUACGUCCUGAGGGAGAAAGUGGGGGAUCUUCGGACCUCACGCUAUCAGACGAGCCUAGGUCGGAUUAGCUAGUUGGUGGGGUAAAGGCCUACCAAGGCGACGAUCCGUAACUGGUCUGAGAGGAUGAUCAGUCACACUGGAGCUGAGACACGGUCCAGACUCCUACGGGAGGCAGCAGUGGGGAAUAUUGGACAAAGGGCGAAAGCCUGAUCCAGCCAUGCCGCGUGUGUGAAGAAGGUCUUCGGAUUGUAAAGCACUUUAAGUUGGGAGGAAGGGCAGUAAGUUAAUACCUUGCUGUUUUGACGUUACCAACAGAAUAAGCACCGGCUAACUUCGUG